UACAGAGGUCCCGAGCGUUGUUCGGAUUCACUGGGCGUAAAGGGUGCGUAGGUGGUGGGAUAAGUCGGAUGUGAAAUCUCGGAGCUUAACUCCGAAACUGCAUUGGAAACUGUCCUGCUAGAGGGUUGGAGGGGGGACUGGAAUACUUGGUGUAGCAGUGAGAUGCGUAGAUAUCAAGUGGAACACCGGUGGCGAAGGCGAGUCCCUGGGACAACACCUGACACUGAGGCACGAAAGCUAGGGGAGCAAACAGG
rnacentral:rRNA from 1 species